CCCUGGUGGCCCCCAAUGUCCCCUCACCUCCUCGUUGAAGAGCCGCCCGGCGCUGUCCUUCUUGGCCAGGUCCAGGUACUGCACCUGCCCGGCCGAGAAGCCGACCAGCAGCGCCAGGGUCUCGGCGCCCGCCGUGAACUGGUUGAAGUCGUGGCAGGUGGGCUGGGUGCCCUUGUAGACGCGCUUGUCGAUGGGCCGGUGCAGGUCCAGGGACUGCGGGGACACCGGGCACUGUCACCUGUCACCGCCCCUGGGGUCACUGUCACCACCCCUGGGGUCAUUGUCAUCAAUCCUGGGGUCAUUGUCACCACCCCUGGGGUCAUUGUCACCAUCCCUGGGGUCAUUGUCAUCAAUCCUGGGGUCAUUGUCACCACCCCUGGGGUCAUUGUCACCACCCCUGGGGUCAUUGUCACCAUCCCUGGGGUCAUUGUCACCAUCCCUGGGGUCAUUGUCACCAUCCCAUGGUCAUUGUCACCACCCCUGGGGUCACUGUCAUUGUCACCAUCCCAUGGUCAUUGUCACCAUCCCUGGGGUCAUUGUCACCACCCCUGGGGUCACUGUCACCAUCCCAUGGUCAUUGUCAUCAAUCCUGGGGUCAUUGUCACCAUCCCUGGGGUCACUGUCAUCAAUCCUGGGUCAUUGUCACCACCCCUGGGGUCAUUGUCACCAUCCCUGGGGUCAUUGUCACCACCCCUGGGGUCACUGUCAUCGAUCUCAGGGUCAUUGUCACCACCCCUGGGGUCAUUGUCACCACCCCAUGGUCAUUGUCACCAUCCCAUGGUCAUUGUCAUCAAUCCUGGGUCAUUGUCACCACCCCAUGGUCAUUGUCACCACCCCAUGGUCAUUGUCACCGCCCCUGGGGUCACUGUCACCAUCCCAUGGUCACUGUCACCAUCCCUGGGGUCACUGUCACCAUCCCUGGGGUCAUUGUCAUCAAUCUCAGGGUCAUUGUCACCAUCCCUGGGGUCAUUGUCACCAUCCCAUGGUCAUUGUCACCAUCCCUGGGGUCAUUGUCACCAUCCCUGGGGUCACUGUCACCAUCCCAUGGUCAUUGUCAUCAAUCCUGGGUCAUUGUCACCACCCCUGGGGUCACUGUCACCAUCCCUGGGGUCACUGUCACCACCCCUGGGGUCAUUGUCACCACCCCUGGGGUCACUGUC
rnacentral:lncRNA from 1 species